GAUGAACGCUAGCGACAGGCUUAACACAUGCAAGUCGAGGGGCAGCACAGGUAGCAAUACCGGGUGGCGACCGGCGCACGGGUGAGUAACGCGUAUGCAACUUACCUAUCAGAGGGGGAUAACCCGGCGAAAGUCGGACUAAUACCGCAUGAAGCAGGGGCCCCGCAUGGGGAUAUUUGCUAAAGAUUCAUCGCUGAUAGAUAGGCAUGCGUUCCAUUAGGCAGUUGGCGGGGUAACGGCCCACCAAACCGACGAUGGAUAGGGGUUCUGAGAGGAAGGUCCCCCACAUUGGUACUGAGACACGGACCAAACUCCUACGGGAGGCAGCAGUGAGGAAUAUUGGUCAAUGGCCGAGAGGCUGAACCAGCCAAGUCGCGUGAGGGAUGAAGGUUCUAUGGAUCGUAAACCUCUUUUAUAAGGGAAUAAAGUGCGGGACGUGUCCCGUUUUGUAUGUACCUUAUGAAUAAGGAUCGGCUAACUCCGUGCCAGCAGCCGCGGUAAUACGGAGGAUCCGAGCGUUAUCCGGAUUUAUUGGGUUUAAAGGGUGCGUAGGCGGCCUUUUAAGUCAGCGGUGAAAGUCUGUGGCUCAACCAUAGAAUUGCCGUUGAAACUGGGAGGCUUGAGUAUGUUUGAGGCAGGCGGAAUGCGUGGUGUAGCGGUGAAAUGCAUAGAUAUCACGCAGAACCCCGAUUGCGAAGGCAGCCUGCCAAGCCAUUACUGACGCUGAUGCACGAAAGCGCGGGGAUCAAACAGGAUUAGAUACCCUGGUAGUCCACGCAGUAAACGAUGAUCACUAGCUGUUUGCGAUACACUGUAAGCGGCACAGCGAAAGCGUUAAGUGAUCCACCUGGGGAGUACGCCGGCAACGGUGAAACUCAAAGAAUUGACGGGGGGCCCGCACAAGCGGAGGAACAUGUGGUUUAAUUCGAUGAUACGCGAGGAACCUUACCCGGGUUUGAACGCAUUCGGACCGAGGCGGAAACACCUUUUCUAGCAAUAGCCGUUUGCGAGGUGCUGCAUGGUUGUCGUCAGCUCGUGCCGUGAGGUGUCGGCUUAAGUGCCAUAACGAGCGCAACCCUUGCCACUAGUUACUAACAGGUAAAGCUGAGGACUCUGGUGGGACUGCCAGCGUAAGCUGCGAGGAAGGCGGGGAUGACGUCAAAUCAGCACGGCCCUUACAUCCGGGGCGACACACGUGUUACAAUGGCGUGGACAAAGGGAAGCCACCUGGCGACAGGGAGCGAAUCCCCAAACCACGUCUCAGUUCGGAUCGGAGUCUGCAACCCGACUCCGUGAAGCUGGAUUCGCUAGUAAUCGCGCAUCAGCCAUGGCGCGGUGAAUACGUUCCCGGGCCUUGUACACACCGCCCGUCAAGCCAUGGGAGCCGGGGGUACCUGAAGUCCGUAACCGCGAGGAUCGGCCUAGGGUAAAACUGGU
rnacentral:rRNA from 1 species